UGCCCACGUAGUUCUCAGAACACGUUAAAGAUAUAAAGAGUAACUCAUCAUCUCAGACCGGUCAAAUAUCAUCUUAACUGUUUCGCUUGUUUCCCAGCGGCUGCAUUUCACCAUUUUGCAGCCUGAAUCAAACUGUCAGUGGAUGUGCUGUCAAUCAUCAUCAUAUAUCCGUUUUCUUAGAAACACAGAACAAAAAAAGAGUGUGUUACGGUUUAUCUUCAUUAUUGAUCUUCACACCUGAAGCCCCCCCCCCAGUCCUCCUCUUCUUUUUCCUGUCAAGGUGUCAAACACGUCAUUGACACAGUUGAGCUGAUGAAAUGGUCACAACGUGCAUCUGUCGAGUUUAAUAUGAUUCUUAUUGUUAACAUCACCUCAGACUGUUCUAAAUGAAGCAAUAUAAUGAUUUCAAUGUAAUACAUUACUUGUUUAUUGUAGUUUUGUGCAGACUGCUGUGACUUCAAGUCACUCUGAGUCACUGGAGAUCAGAGAUAACCAAAUCACAGGAAGUAGCUGCUUCAUGUUUUCACACGAUGCACUAAUUUAGAGACUGACAGAGGAGAGUGAACAGCAGAAAGAAGGGAGGCAGACACGAUGGCUGAACUCAGAUGGAUUAAAGGGUUUGUAUUUGUGAUGUUGGUGAUUCAGUUCACAGCUUCCUUCAUUAUCAGACACGGAGAAGACGUCACUUUGUCUUGUGGAACUUUGAUAAAUGAUCAUGAUAAAUGUGACGGUAUCACCUGGUUAUUCAGUGCUUCAGGAAACUCAGCAGCAGUAGCGCUGGUUGAACAUGGAAAGGUUAAGAAAGAUGUAGUCAAAUCUAAAUCAGACAGACUGAGUGUUACAGAGAACUGUUCUCUGGUUAUAAAGAAGGUCACAGAUGAAGAUGUUGGUCGUUACAUCUGCAGACAGUUUAACAAAUCAGGAAAACAACAAGGUGGAGACUUCGUGAUUCGUCUGUCUCUUGUUACCAGUGAGUAUUUCCAUCAUAAUGAAAUCGUUACGUCACAUAAAUGAAAUAAUUCAGUGCUAAAGUUUGUUUAUCACUUGUUUUAUUUUUUUCACAUGUCCACCUUCACCAGUGAACAAACAGAUAAACAAUGACAAGGUGACGUUAUUCUCAGAACCUCCGCCACCCUUCUGUCUCACAGCUGACGACUUUGCCUCCUUUUUUACCAACAAGGUGGCAGCCAUCAGCUCCCAGUUCUUUCCUCCUGACCAUGACAUUCUGCUAACUAAACCCGACGAUGCAUCUCACUUCAUGUUUUCAACACUGUCAGAGGACGAUGUAUCCACCCUCCUCCUCUCAAAUCGUCCCACCACCUGCUCUCUGGAUCCGAUCCCCUCUACUCUUCUUCAAGCUACAGCACCAACACUAAUACCAGCCAUUACACAGAUCAUCAACACCUCUCACAACAGGCACCUUUCCCACCUCGUUCAAGCAGGCCCAGAUCACUCCACUGUUGAAGAAGCCUUCUCUGGAUCCCUCCCUUGUGGAGAACUACAGACCGGUUUCAUUCCUGGCCAAGACUCUGGAACGUGCAGCCUUUAAUCAACUCUCUGACUUUCUUUCCCGGAACAACCUCCUUGAUGUCAAUCAGUCUGGUUUCAAGAGUGGUCACUCCACAGAGACGGCACUUCUGACUGUUGUGGAAUCCCUACGGGUGGCUAAAGCUGCAGGUAAAUCUUCUGUCCUUAUUCUAUUGGAUCUAUCUGCAGCCUUUGACACUGUGAACCAUCAGAUUCUCAUGACUGCACUCUCAGACCUGGGCAUCUCUGGAUCAGCUCUAGCCUGGCUUCGGUCAUACUAGUCCGAACGAACCUU
ensembl:lncRNA